CGUGUAGGCGGGUUGGCAAGUCAGAUGUGAAACCCCACGGCUUAACUGUGGGACUGCAUCUGAAACUGCUGGUCUUGAGUGCUGGAGAGGAAAGCGGAAUUCCCAGUGUAGCGGUGAAAUGCGUAGAGAUUGGGAGGAACACCAGUGGCGAAGGCGGCUUUCUGGACAGUAACUGACGCUGAGGCGCGAAAGCGUGGGGAGCAAACA
rnacentral:rRNA from 1 species